AUUGAUCGCUGGCGGCAGGCCUCACACAUGCACGUCGAACGAGUGGCGGACGGGUGAGUAAUGUCUGGGAAACUGCCUGAUGGAGGGGUAUAACUACUGGCAACGGUAGCUAAUACCUCAUACCAUCGAAUGUGCCCAUAUGGGAUUAGCUCGUAGGUGGGGUACAGGCUCACCUAGGAGACGAUCCCUAACUGGUCUGAGAGGAUGACAAGCCAAACUGGAACUGAGACACGGUCCAGAAUCCUACGGGAGGCAGUAGUGGAGAAUAUUGCACAAUGGGCGCAAGCCUGAUGCAGCAAUGCCGCUUGUACGAAGAAGGCCUUAGGGUUGUAAAGUACUUUAAGCGGGGAGGCGUUACCCGCAGACGAAGCACCGGCUAACUCCGUGACAGCAGCCGCGGUAAUUC
rnacentral:rRNA from 1 species